AUUGAACGCUGGCGGCAGGCCUAACACAUGCAAGUCGAGCGGAUGAGGAAAGCUUGCUUUUCGAUUCAGCGGCGGACGGGUGAGUAAUGCCUAGGAAUCUGCCUGUUAGUGGGGGAUAACUCGGGGAAACUCGGGCUAAUAUCGCAUACGUCCUACGGGAGAAAGUGGGGGAUCUUCGGACCUCACGCUAACAGAUGAGCCUAGGGCGGAUUAGCUAGUAGGUGAGGUAAUGGCUCACCUAGGCGACGAUCCGUAACUGGUCUGAGAGGAUGAUCAGUCACACUGGAACUGAGACACGGUCCAGACUCCUACGGGAGGCAGCAGUGGGGAAUAUUGGACAAUGGGCGAAAGCCUGAUCCAGCCAUGCCGCGUGUGUGAAGAAGGUCUUCGGAUUGUAAAGCACUUUAAGUUGGGAGGAAGGGUAUUCACCUAAUACGUGGGUACUUUGACGUUACCAACAGAAUAAGCACCGGCUAACUCUGUGCCAGCAGCCGCGGUAACAC
rnacentral:rRNA from 1 species